CUCCCACCUAACAUGGAGCCUGUGACCAGCGUGAAUGUGAAAAAUGGAUAAAGGGAAGGAAAAGAUGACUUCAGUGGAGCAGUUUCAAGACGUAACUAAGAUGUGAUUCCCUAUGAGAAAAUGAAUCUCAAGACAAUGUCCUGACUCUCAGUGGUUGGGGAUUUGGCGUUUGUGCUAGAAAUGACUUUAAUACCACUGAAGAAUCUACACAUCACAGAUGGAAAUAUUCCGUGGCAGAUGGAAAAUUUUCUGGAACAUGCUUCUGUUGAGCAUUCACAUUGUGUUUGGCUGUGAACCCUCCUGGUAGG